UGGGGAAUUUUGGACAAUGGGCGAAAGCCUGAUCCAGCAAUGCCGCGUGUGUGAAGAAGGCCUUCGGGUUGUAAAGCACUUUUGUUCGGAAAGAAAUCCUUGGCUCUAAUACAGUCGGGGGAUGACGGUACCGGAAGAAUAAGCACCGGCUAACUACGUGCCAGCAGCCGCGGUAAUACGUAGGGUGCAAGCGUUAAUCGGAAUUACUGGGCGUAAAGCGUGCGCAGGCGGUUUGCUAAGACCGAUGUGAAAUCCCCGGGCUCAACCUGGGAACUGCAUUGGUGACUGGCAGGCUAGAGUAUGGCAGAGGGGGGUAGAAUUCCACGUGUAGCAGUGAAAUGCGUAGAGAUGUGGAGGAAUACCGAUGGCGAAGGCAGCCCCCUGGGCCAAUACUGACGCUCAUGCACGAAAGCGUGGGGAGCAAACAGGAUUAGAUACCCUGGUAGUCCACGCCCUAAACGAUGUCAACUAGUUGUUGGGGAUUCAUUUCCUUAGUAACGUAGCCAACGCGUGAAGUUGACCGCCUGGGGAGUACGGUCGCAAGAUUAAAACUCAAAGGAAUUGACGGGGUCAUAGCUGUUUCCU
rnacentral:rRNA from 1 species